rnacentral:lncRNA from 10 species
CCCUCUGUUGCCCAGGCUGGAGUCCAGUGGCGCGAUCUCUCCUCACUGCAACUUCUGCCUCCCGGGUUCAAGCGAUUCUCCUGCCUCAGCCUCCUCAGUAGCUGGGAUUACAGACCCUGCUUAAAGAGAAGCCAUGAAACAGAUGGAUGUCCUGCUGACAGCCACCCAGGAGGCCAGCUUCUGAGACAUACGUGGGAAGCUGCAAGCAGUUCAAAGUGAUGAGGGGGAGGCUGUAGCACAAACCCUAUCAGCAAAUAAUGGGAUUUGUACAUCUCCUGUACCUGCAAAGAGGAAUUCUCUCGCAUACCUUUUCCUACUAUUUGUUUUCACUUAAAAAGCUAUUUAAAGCCUUCUCUACUCUUGGAAUAGAGCACAUCUUCUACUUUGCCCAUUAUCAGCCACAGUAAAUAGAUUUGAGCUGAGAGAUCCAGGCACUUUAAUUGCCACUGUGCACUUUCCUCAAGUAAUAAAAACAAAAUAAUCCACUUUUAUGUGUCCCGUCGAUAUGGUCUAUGUAUAGUGCCAGCACUUUAUUCCCCUGAAGACCCACUCUCUAGAAAAGAAAAACUAGUCUGAUGGUAUUGUUUGCCUUUAAAGAAAAUCAAUGGUCAAACUUAAAAGGUGAUCUUACUUGAAGUAAAACAUAGAAGCUUCUUCAGCAUAUUGAAUGGAUACACGUGAGCAGCAGUUUGUGUCUUUUGGUUAUAAAUGACCUAAAGAGGAAGUUCCUGAAACACUGUAGAGAAUGGCUUAAAUAUAAGAGUUGAGUGACUUUAUUGGUCUGCUCUAGCCAUAGCCAGUCUUACAGUUGGGCUGUAUGGCAUAGCAAAAACAGCAUGAACAUUCAUGUGGGAAAAUAAGGAUUUCAGUCAUGGCCCUGGCAUUUACAAGUUAUUUGUCAUCAGGCAAGUUACCUAAUCAAUCUAGGCUCCCUUUCCACAAGCAUAAAUAAGAAUAACAGUAUUCAUUGUAUAUUCUGUCAUAUUAAUAAGAGGCAUUGCAUGUAUAUUACCUAACCUAGCAUAUUGUAGGCACUCAACAAAUGGCAGGUACAGUUUCCUAUCCUGAACUGUUUCUUCUCCAUACUAUAAAAGCAGUGUGAAAGACCGUGGGACAUUUUUGUGUGCUCAAUAAACUAGUUCUUAAUGUUUUCUUUGUAAGUUACGAUUUUCUUUGGAAAUGGGCUGAAAACUAUUAAUACUUCCUCCUACCCUCAGCUUUAAAUAUACAUCACAGUAUACAUACAACUUAGUUAAAAAAACUCUGUCAUGUAGCAACUCUUCUGUCUUCCAAAUCCUAUAACAAUAAUUAUUCAUAAACUACCCUGGGUCCUAUUCCUAGAGAAGAUAGUAAGGACUCAGUGAGGUUGCAGAGUCAAUAGAUGUGAUAGCCAUUCACUUUGAAGUGCUCGAUAAUAUCCCUCUGAUUCAAGACAAAAGGGCAAUCCAGUGAUUUUUCUAAGGCAGAACUGAAAUGUAAUUCAUUGCCCUAUAUGGUAUAAUUUUGAAGUUUAAAAUUAAAAGAAUGACAGAAACAUUACUGGAGUUACCAGCCUUCAAAGUGUGAUCAUUAUGCUGGUAAAAUGUUGUUCUCAGUUGAUCAAUGUCUUUCUGCCAGAGCAGGCAAUUUUUAAAAUACGUAGUGCCAUGGUGAAAGUCUUCAUUUAUGUGUAGUCACAUUCAUUUACCAGAAUUUCACAAUAGUAAAGUUAAAAGCAUUGGGAUUAUUUGGUCCACAAAAGACAGGAAUGAUUAAUCAACAUAUCUCUCUUUCUCUCUUUCUCUUUCUUUCAUAUCUAUGUAUCUAUCAUCUAUAUAUCUAUAUGUGAAUUUCUAUAUAUGAAUUCUGUAUAUUUCUAUAUGAAUUGCUAUAUUUCUAUGUAUGAAUUUCUACAUCUCUCUGUAUCUCUAUAGAGAGAUGUAAAAAUCAUAUAUGUGUGUGUGUGUGUUGUGUGUG